UACGGGGGGGGCAAGCGUUGCUCGGAAUUACUGGGCGUAAAGGGCUCGUAGGCGGCCAACUAAGUCGGUUGUGAAAUCCCCAGGCUUAACCUGGGAACUGCAUCCGAUACUGGAUGGCUUGAAUCCGGGAGAGGGAUGCAGAAUUCCAGGUGUAGCGGUGAAAUGCGUAGAUAUCUGGAGGAACACCGGUGGCGAAGGCGGCAUCCUGGACCGACACUGACGCUGAGGAGCGAAAGCCAGGGGAGCAAACGGG
rnacentral:rRNA from 1 species